GGUUUUUGAAGCGCUUGCAGAACCAGGACCUCUGGCGUGGACGUUUGUCAAAGAAGAAGUGAAGUGUGCUGGAGCUGUGAAGAGCUAACUACAGUAGGCUUUACCGGUCCGACAGAAACUUGUGAAACUUCAGUGAUGACGGUGAGCUCUGUAUUUGUCCCUCAAAGGUACCUUUCUUAGAUAUGUUGGGAUUACACUCAGAUGUAGAGUCACUGCUCUAUUUAGAGUCAGUAAAAGCAAUAUCUUAUUGUUUGCAACAAAUUCUUUUUGUCCCCAACAAGUGUUAAAAAUCUUUUCCGGCUUAAUGCAUUGAGGCCUACUAUCUUCUACCUCAUUUUGUCUUAAUGGCAUUCAGUUCAUGACACCCAGCAGGGAAUGAGUCGAUCACCUUGUUUGAUCACCUGGUUUUAUCUAUCUAUCCAUCUAUCUAUCUAUCUAUCUAUCUAUCUAUCUAUCUAUCUAUCUAUCU